CUCCUGAAAGUGAUCGACGGCGAGCCGCUGCCGCCGCCGAAGCCUGAAGGCGAGAUGCCGGACCUGAGCGCGAUCGGCGAGUAUUUCCCGUUCCUCUUCAUUGUCGUGCUGGUCGGCGGCGGAAUNNNNNNNNNNCUUCGGCCGUCUGCUGGGCUCCCUUAUUGCCGGCGGCGGUGUCGCGGCCUUCAUCUGGUUCUUCCUCGGCGUGUUUCCGAUCGCCGCCAUCGGGGGAAUGAUCGCGUUUGUCGUGACGCUGAUCGGCGACACGCUCGUGUCGUCC
rnacentral:misc_RNA from 1 species